rnacentral:rRNA from 1 species
GUCUAAGUACUAGCCAAUAAUUUUUCUUUUUUUUAAAAGAAAAAGAAAACGGUGAAACCGCGAAAAGCUCAUUAAAUCGGCUUUGGUUCCUUAGAUAGUAAGCAGAUCUGAUUUUUUUUCGAAAUUUAAAUAUUUUGAAAAAAAAGAAAAAUCUGAAAUGGAUAACUGUGGUAAUUCUAGAGCUAAUACAUGAAAAUUAUUUCAGUGUGAAUAAUUAAUUUUUGAAAAAUUAAUAUAUUUGCACGCUUUUAUUAGAGGAAAAAGCCAAUUUUUUAAAGUUCGAAGAAAUUUUUGAAAAAUAAUUUGUUUCGAACUGAAAUAAUAAAUUAUAAUAAAUCAUUUAAAAAAUAUAUAUCAUUUAAGAUAUAAUUUUUUAAAAUGGUGUUGAAUCUGAAUAACUUGAAUGAAUUUCUUUUGAAAAUUAUUUAUCGUUAUUAUAUCUUUUUUAUAAAUUAAUAUUUUAUAUUAAUUUUAAUGAAAAAGUUUAAUUUAUGUCGAUAAAUUUUGAUUAGAAAGAAAUUUAAAGCAGACCGCAAAAAAAAAUUUAUUUUAUUUAUAUAAAAUAAAUAAAUGCGGCGUAUCUUUCAAUUGUCUGCCUUAUCAACUUUCGAUGGUAGAUUACAUGUCUACCAUGGUUGUAACGGGUAACGGGGAAUCAGGGUUCGAUUCCGGAGAGGGAGCCUGAGAAACGGCUACCACAUCUAAGGAAGGCAGCAGGCGCGCAAAUUACCCACUCCCGGCACGGGGAGGUAGUGACGAUAAAUAACGAUCCGGAACUCUAAUGAGUUUCCGUAAUCGGAAUGAGUACAAUUUAAAUCCGUUAACGAGGAGCAAAUGGAGGGCAAGUCUGGUGCCAGCAGCCGCGGUAAUUCCAGCUCCAUUAGCAUAUAUUAAAGUUGUUGCGUUUAAAAAGCUCGUAGUUGAUCUGUAUCUCAUCAUGUCAAUCGCUCGUAAUUUAAUUUACGUAGUUUGAUUUGGCAUCUUGUAUGAGAUAUAAAUACUGGUGGAUUUUUCAAAAUUGAAUAUUAUUUUUUAUAUUUUUUUUUCAAAAAAUAUAAAUAAAUGGUAAUUUUCAAUUUUAAAAUUCGAUAUAAUGAUUUUUAAUUAAAAAAGUUUAAUAAGAAUAAUUUUUUUAAUAAAAAAUUGGAUUUUUGGUUUUUUCAAUUUUUUUUUU